AUACGUAGGGGGCGAGCGUUGUCCGGAAUGAUUGGGCGUAAAGGGCGCGUAGGCGGCCCGGUAAGUCUGGAGUGAAAGUCCUGUUUUUAAGAUGGGAAUUGCUUUGGAUACUGUCGGGCUUGAGUGCAGGAGAGGUAAGUGGAAUUCCCAGUGUAGCGGUGAAAUGCGUAGAGAUUGGGAGGAACACCAGUGGCGAAGGUGACUUACUGGACUGUAACUGACGCUGAGGCGCGAAAGUGUGGGGAGCAAACAGGAUUAGAUACCCUGGUAGUCCACACUGUAAACGAUGAAUGCUAGGUGUAGGGGGUAUCGACCCCUUCUGGGCCGCAGUCAACACAAUAAGCAUUCCGCCUGGGGAGUGCGGCCGCAAGGUUGAAACUCAAAUGAAUUGGCGGGG
rnacentral:rRNA from 1 species